rnacentral:rRNA from 1 species
UACGAAGGGGGCUAGCGUUGCUCGGAAUGACUGGGCGUAAAGGGCGCGUAGGCGGAUGGCACAGUCAGAUGUGAAAUUCCUGGGCUUAACCUGGGGGCUGCAUUUGAUACGUGUGAUCUAGAGUGAGGAAGAGGGUUGUGGAAUUCCCAGUGUAGAGGUGAAAUUCGUAGAUAUUGGGAAGAACACCGGUGGCGAAGGCGGCGACCUGGUCCUUAACUGACGCUGAGGGGCGAAAGCGUGGGGAGCGAACAGG